rnacentral:rRNA from 1 species
UACAGAGGGGGCAAGCGUUAUUCGGAAUUAUUGGGCGUAAAGGGCGCGUAGGCGGCUUGGCAAGUGGAAGGUGAAAUCCCUCGGCUUAACCGAGGAACUGCCCUCCAAACUGCUUCGCUUGAGGCCGGGAGAGGUGAGUGGAAUUCCCAGUGUAGCGGUGAAAUGCGUAGAUAUUGGGAGGAACACCAGUGGCGAAGGCGGCUCACUGGACCGGUACUGACGCUGAUGCGCGAAAGCGUGGGGAGCAAACGGG